rnacentral:misc_RNA from 1 species
AGCAUUUAUUGCAAAAUGUUGAAGUGAGUUCUUCCUGUCACUUUUCUUCUUUAUGUCUCUUACUGCAUGGACACACAGUGGCUUGCAUGGCAAUGGGAAACAUGUCUUUUAAGAAACAUAUCUUAAUUUGGCAAUGCCUAAUAAAACAUAAAAAGAGAAAUAGAUGGUGCUAGUGUUUUCAUAACUCCUGUCUGGCAGCUAUAGUCAACCAAAUAGUUAUACUGAUUUGAUCUCCCUUUUGGAUAUGGAUCUUAUAUUAUUGAUGUUGCUGCAGCAUUUGCAUAAAUACCAUAUGUUGUAAAUUAUGGUUCUCUAGGGUGGUUUGAUCGAAGUAAUGGUCUAACAAUAUGACGUGCAUGUGCCUAACAUACUUGUGACAUGAAACUUUGAAAUGAAAUUUUGUUAUAAGUAUUAUUUAGCAUGUGUAUUCACAUGAUGUGAUGGUUUUUAAUAUUUUGCAGGAAGAAGUUG